UACGUAGGGUGCGAGCGUUGUCCGGAAUUAUUGGGCGUAAAGAGCUCGUAGGCGGUCUGUCGCGUUGUUCGUGAAAACUCACAGCUUAACUGUGGGCGUGCGGGCGAUACGGGGCAGACUGGAGUACUGCAGGGGAGACUGGAAUUCCUGGUGUAGCGGUGGAAUGCGCAGAUAUCGGGAGGAACACCCGUGGCGAAGGCGGGUCUCUGGGACGGUACUGACGCUGAGACGCGAAAGCGUGGGGAGCGAACAGG
rnacentral:rRNA from 1 species